GAUGCUGGAAUGCUUCAUAGCCAAAAGCCCCGGCGCCUAAGGAUGACUCUGCGGACUAUCAGGUAGUAGUCAGGGUAACGACCUGACUAGCCUACGACGGAUACGGGGUGUGAGAGCACUACCCCGGAGAUGGAUUCUGAGACACGAAUCCAGGCCCUACGGGGUGCAGCAGGCGCGAAACUUCCGCAAUGCUCGCCACAGUGACGGAGGGAUUCCAAGUGCCUAUGCUAUGCGUAGGCUGUUUUUAUGUCUAAAUAACAUGGAGAGUAAGAGCUGGGUAAGACGGGUGCCAGCCGCCGCGGUAAUACCUGCAGCUCGAGUGGUAACCG
rnacentral:rRNA from 1 species